rnacentral:lncRNA from 1 species
UGUGAGUAUUAUUACACAACGAUUCGAUCCCCUGGUAAUAAUAAAUCAUUGGACCCAAACUAUCAGCUCAAAAUAUUUAGUCCCACAUUAUUCGAUAUGGGACUUUUAUGGUGUCAUAGACUCUCCCCCCGUUUGCAACACAAGUGCUGUAACGAUCUCAACCGCUGGCAAUAAUAACUCAAUUGGGCCCAAACCAUCAGCCCAAAAUAUUCAAACUAAAUUAUUAUUACUAGUGUGUCACACUCUUCGCUUGUUAGGCCUUGAGUCCUCGUCAGCCCAUCACAUACAUAGCCCGCCCACGAUCACCCGGCAAAAUGAGACUUGUCUCACUAGUCGCCUUGAGUCCUCAUCAGCCCAUCACGUACACAGCCCACGAUUAUCCGACGAUAUGAAACUUGUUUCACUAAUCUUGUCAAUCAGAUCCUGGCAUAGCAUAUCAUUCUCACAUCCUAACUCAGUAGAAACUCAUUAUACACUUCCUGCUGGUGAUUGGCUCUGAUACCAAAUAUAAUGACCCGACCAGCUAACAAUAAUAACUCGUAAGAAUCAAACCAUCGGGCCAAAAUACUUUGACCCAGUUAUUAUUACUAGUGUUUAUAUCACUUAUAAAUCCAUCACACUCUUUCACAUUAUCCGAUAUGGGGAUUAUUGGAGUGCCACAAGUGCCUUGACGCCCCACUUCUUAGAAGGGUUACCUAUCUUAAAACUAUUUUAUUCCUAUCACGCUUUACUCUUUUAUCCUCUUAGACCUAAUUAGCACUCAAAAUGCUAUAGUCAGAUUAAAAUGUUU